AGUUGUUGGAGAGCAAACUUAGACGAUUCUCCAUAACAAUUCGCAGGCAGUUGAGUAGAAAUCUGUUAUUUGAUUCAAGUCUCCACAUAUUUCUUUCGGUAGGCCUCUUUGAUUGAGGACCAUUUUUGUAACGUCUGUUGAGUCUAUGUAAUUUGCAGCUAUUUUGGAGUCUAGCAAUUUUUUGAAAAUUGUAUUAAACGAUUAGAUUAUGUUCUUUGAAUUGUGACUGAAUUGAGAAUUUAACAGGGAUUUUAUAAAUUUGGGAAUGUUGAAGUUACAGA